rnacentral:rRNA from 1 species
AUUGAACGCUGGCGGCAGGCCUAACACAUGCAAGUCGAGCGGCAGCGGGUCCUUCGGGAUGCCGGCGAGCGGCGGACGGGUGAGUAAUGCCUAGGAAUCUGCCUGGUAGUGGGGGAUAACGUUCGGAAACGGACGCUAAUACCGCAUACGUCCUACGGGAGAAAGUGGGGGAUCUUCGGACCUCACGCUAUCAGAUGAGCCUAGGUCGGAUUAGCUAGUUGGUGGGGUAAAGGCUCACCAAGGCGACGAUCCGUAACUGGUCUGAGAGGAUGAUCAGUCACACUGGAACUGAGACACGGUCCAGACUCCUACGGGAGGCAGCAGUGGGGAAUAUUGGACAAUGGGCGAAAGCCUGAUCCAGCCAUGCCGCGUGUGUGAAGAAGGUCUUCGGAUUGUAAAGCACUUUAAGUUGGGAGGAAGGGCAGCUAGUUAAUACCUGGUUGUUUUGACGUUACCAACAGAAUAAGCACCGGCUAACUUCGUGCCAGCCGCCGCGGUAACAC